UCACUUCGGCAGCGCAUGUGCUGAAGUUGCAGCGAUACAGAGAAGAUUAGCAUGGCCCCUGCGCAGGGAUGACGCACAAAUUCGUGAAGCGUUCCAUAGCUAU
rnacentral:snRNA from 1 species